UUUAGAAUUGAAAUUCUGAAAAAAGCUAUAUUGUUUUUUUUUUAUUGACACAAGGUUUUUUGUGGCCAAACAAUAAACUUUAAAGGACAAUUUUUUUCUAUUUUAUUUCUAUUAUUAUACGAUCUUGAUAUGAUGGUGAUGAUUGGAUCCUUGAAUUGUAGAUUUGUACAUUGAUAUAUUUUUAUUUUAUUAUUAUUGUUGUUGUUGUCGAUAUUUUUUUCUCUAUCUUUUUUUUGGAAGGUCUUUCGAGAUAAUUUGAUAAUUUUUUGUUUUUUUUUGUCAGAGAUGUAUGUAUUAUAUUCACAUUUAGUUUUGGAACAUUGAAACAAAAUCCAAUUCUAUGAUUAUAUUUUGAUUAUUGAUCAAAAGAUGGCAAUGUAAUCAUCAUUAUUUUGGAUUAAUUCAUAAAGAAUGUGACAAUAUAAAUUUUACGAUGACGUCGUCUUUCUGUGGUUGUGCGCAUGUAAUUAUUAUUGAGUAUUAGUUUUUUUGUUGCUAACAACAAAUAAAAUCUAUCAUUAAAUUAUGCUGCUAUCAAUUUUUAAUAUUUCUAUCCCUUUUCGCAUGGUUUUCAUGAAUAGACCCUUGAAUGAUUAUUAUCUCUUUCCUUAUGAAUAUUGAAACUACUACAAAACACCCACACAUAUCAAAUAUUAACAAAGUUGUUGACUACUACAAUUCUUAAUGAUUGACAAUCUUUAUGCUACUACCAAAUUUAUCGAGGAUUUCCCUUUUUUCCCACAUCUUUUGUUCUUUCGAAUAUUUCAGUCUCUUUGUGUAAAGUAUGUGUACAUCUGUAUGUUUUGUUGGUUGCAUGUUGUCGUCAUUAUUCACAAGUUUUGAUCUGAUCACUGCUCGGCUCAUCAUUAUUUUCACUCGCCCAUAAUAUUAAUCAGCAUACACAAAAAAAAACGACGAUUAUUAUCAUUAUAUUCGAUUUGAUUAUCAUUGAAAAUUGUUGUUCAAGAAUUAUUAAACCAUAACAAUAGUUUUGAAAGAAAAAAAAGAUUAACAUCACCUAAAAUAAAGUGUAUUUUUUUGCUGUCUCCUUUCUAUCUGUUUGUUUGUGUUGGUAUUUGAUUAUUGCCAACAACUACAAAUCGCAAAUCAAUCGUUUUUUUCGCCAUAUCAAAUCUCCAGAAAAUCUUGAGAGAAGGAGUUUUGAUUCGACUUCAGCAACAACUACAUUAUUAGACAAAGAAAGAACAAUACUAACAACAUAACGAAGAAACGGACAAAAUUUUUUCAUUUUUUUUUGUUCGAAUCGCGCAAACUCUGCGUACAUCACACAAAAAAAAUUUACAUCAAACAAGCAACGAAAAAUAUACAUCCUUAUAAUUGGAGAAGAAAAAAUCAACAAUCAACUUUCAUUGACGAAGAAAGUUUCUCAACACUCUGUGUCUGUGUUUGUUUUGUGAUUGUGGUGGUGGUGCUCGUUUUUUGAGCAUAUGUGUGUGUGUUUGUGUGUGUAUGUGGUUGGAUUAUUCAAUCAACAAUUUUUUUUUUUUUUUUUGCCAAGUGUGAAACAACAACUUGUAUAUCGUUAGUGGUUAUUUUAUACCUUUAUGUUAAGAAAGUUUGGUUUCAUUUCAUCAAUUAUGAUGAUGAUGAUGGGUGUAUUAUUGCCUUGAAAUUCUUUGUUAAUGUUCCGAUUUCUCAAUUCAUAUUGCAUCGUCAUUGGUGUGGUGAUGGUGAAUAUUCUUUUGUUUGAAUAUUUUGAAGCUUUUUUUGUCAUAAUAACAAAAAAGCUUCAAAAUACCUUGUGUAAAAAUUAGGUGUGUAAAUUGUUUGUGUUUUUCAUAUAUUGUACAUCAUUAAUCGUAAAUAAAACGACGAUUAUCGAUGUACGAACAACGACAACUACGAACAAAUUCGAAACUAAAAUAUACGAUUAAUAAACUAAUUGAUUUCAAUAAAAAUUUUGAAAUUAAACAACGACGACAACAAAAACAACAAUCAAAGCUACAAAAUG